ACCCUCUUGAUCCAUUCAUCAACUUGGUUGUUGACAUGGCAUCAGACAUGGACAUUUCAUCAAUGAUUGUCUUGAAUUGUGCACGAUUGUGUCGUGAUAGAAUGGCGUUGCUGCUGUGGUUGAUCGACCAGUCCUUUUUACCUUUGU
rnacentral:misc_RNA from 1 species